CACAAGCUGAAGCUGACUUGGGUGUGGCUACCAUCUCAGUCCCCAGAGAAGAGACUGCUAGGUUCCAUGUGAAGGCUAGGGAUGCCCUCCCUGCAGCUACCCUCCUGGUCACCAACGCCAACAUCCUCACGCACCUUGAGUUUCGGGCUCAGGUUCCUGCUCGCAAAGCCUCACCUCAGCACUGGAGCAUAAGCAGCUUGGAGCCCUGGCCCAGCCAGGGAGCCCACCUCUGUGAGAGAGCAGUCUGCCAGCUGGCAGAGGUCUGCUUGGAGCAUGCAGUUGGUUUGGUAACUGGGGAGCCAACAGUGUUUAUAGAUGGACGGUGGCCAUCAUCUGCCUCAUCUGUGGCUGCUGCUGCAGGAUCAAGACAAUGACGACAACAACCGAGGGUUCAGGGCUGCUAAUGACCCAAGGAAGCUAUAGAGACGGUAGAGACUGGGAAAUCGGGCUAGAAGUUAAAUAGGCAGAGGUCAGCUUCCUUUCAGGGAACUGAAAAAUCUUCUUGCUAGCUCAUUCUCAUCACUGUUCAUCAGGAUACCUCACGUCCUCUCACGGAACUGUGAGCGGGGCAUUUGAUAGUGCUCUCAUCUUCCUUGACAGAGGUCUGAAAAGGUCAGCCACUCAUAUUCUCUGUCUUCCCCUUCAGGAGAGCCGGCUACUGGAGGAUGAGACUGAUUACAAAUGCAGUAGAAGCAGGGAGCUUUCUAGCUUUCAUAAAAUCUUUCAUAGUUAUGGCAAAUCAUAAUCCUUCCCAAUGAGAUCUUUCUAGUUAGCCUAGUGUACUGCCUGAAACCACACAAUUACUUGGGGAUUAGUGUCAUUUUACUUGGGGUUUUGUAUCUAUACUGAUCUCAAAUUUCUGGAUUCAAGGGGUUUUCCAAUCCCACCUUCCUCCUAUAACUAUAGACAUUACCACCAUGCCCAGUGGGUUUUGUGUCUUCAGAAAUAAAAUGGUGUUUAAUAUCGGGCACAAGUGUACUACAAGACAGGAGAGAUUAGGUUUAAUUUUCAUAUUCAAUCAAUAAAGCUAUCUAAUCAUCUUCCCCAAAGAUAUACAAGGAACAGAAAGCAGAAGAACCUAUACCUGACCUAUCUGAGGGCAGAGUGGGGGAGGAGCGAGGGGGAGAGAGACAGAGAGAUCAAGAGAAAUCUCAAUCUGUACAUGAAGCUAGCAUGAUUUUUAAGGUCCUUCCAUAAACAAGUCCACUACGUUAGAUUUUUGAGAGACUAGAGGCAAAAAUAAUUGCUCUCUUUCUUCUUGUUUAUUUGGUCACUUGAAGGUCAAAGGGAGCUCGAACAGAGCUAAGUAGUGGCAGAGAUUACCCAGAAGGAAACUUGUAUCUGUAUCAAGCCUUGGUAGGCCUACUUCCUUCCCAAUACCUUUCCAGCAGUGCACAAUAGAGCUAAAAGGGGUCCCAAACUUGACUUUAGGGCUAUGGGUCCCUAUUCGCUGUAUUUCCCAGCACGAUUAUCUUCUCUGCCCCAGUCUCUAUUCAUAUGAGUACACUUAUCCCUGUCCUACUGAGCUCUGCGGGGCUGUUGAGAGCAUUCAUGGGACAGGCAGCCAUGGAAAUGAUCCAAAUCAUCGAGAGUCCAUUAAGUAGAAGAUGUUUCUGUGUAUUAGAUUUAAUAAGGGUAUGAUAGCUGGCCUCAAUUUGAAGCAACAAAAUAAGAGGCAGAAAGCAAUUUUUAUUUUCUGAAAUAGGGCUUCACGGCGCAGUCCAGGCUAGCUUAAAACUCUAGCGCCGCCUGCUUCUGGGUCUCAAGUGCUGAGUUUACAGGCAUACCCCUCCAGACCUGAUUAUAUUUUUGUUUGAAAUAAACAUUUUCCUCAUUAUGAAAACAUUACUUAAUUAUUGAAAAUAUACAGAAGUAACAGGAAAAACCCAAACAAGCCCGCCUUUAAUAUUAUAUUUAACAUUAUUAAGUUACAUGUUGUACUUAAUCCCAUCUAAACACAGGUAGCUUGAGUGAUUGGGAUUUUGGUCUAUUUCCUUCCAGUCUUUUUUCCCCCAACAAGGGCAAGGACUGUGCCUGUUUGCCUUUAUUUGCAGCCUCUAUCACUCUGGCAAACUCAGUAGAUUCUCCAUAAACACUUUCAGUACUGGCACACUUAUUGGAACGUGCAACUUUGCAUCCCACUUUGUCUGCUUCAGCCUGAGAAUAUGUUUUAAUAUUAGCAUUCUUUCAAAACAUCUUUUUUAAAUGUUUCCCCUGAAUUCCAUCAUAUCACUGCAUCACUGCAUCCGCACUCUAUUAUAAGACAUUUAGGUUGCUUCCAGCCUUCCACUGCUACAAUCAAUCAAAGCUGAGAUAAAUAUCCCCAUAGUGUGCGUCAUGUCCAUACAUGUUGCUUUCCUCUGAAUAAAUUCCUAGCGGUGGGUUUCUCGGCUCAGCACAGUUGAAAGGCUUCUAAUACAUACACCAUUUCGUCUUCCAUGAAAGUUAUACCAGUUUGCUUACCCACCAGUGAUAUUGGCAUUUUCCUUUUAAAUGGGCCUGCUUUUGAUUUUGGCUUUGUCAUAUUCUACCUGUAUCAUUUUUUUCCUUUGCAACUUCUUCCACUGCAUUUAUGCUCAGAAGUCCUCAGGGACAAUCCUUUAGGUUGAUAAAAGGUCAAUUUGUAUGCAGUUCUUGCUUUUGCAAUGCAAUGUAUUCAAGAAAGCUUUAUCAUAAGAUGGUCUACACACUGGGAAACAGACUAAGCUCAUGCAUACCCAUGGCAGAAUUCACCUAUUCUAAUGUGAUCGGUUUCAUCACCAGAAACAAACAAAUGUGUAGAUACAGGCUGCAAGGAGGUGAAGUAUAGGUGUUCAUCAAUCAGUUGUGGCAAAGUACAGCACUUCCUUUUAAAUGGUUCUGAUGUUUUGACUUUUAGCGAAUUUUUAGGUCAGGUAAACUUUUCAAAUCCCCUUUCUGAGGUUAGAAGAGCCUUAAUAUAUAGGCCUCUUCCGCCAUUAGGUGGAAGCGAGGGCUAAGGAAGGCCUAGCAUCAGCCAAAUGUAGGGGACAGUGUGGCGCCAUCAGUGCUUUAGACAGCUCUGCCCUUGACCCUGCCCCCAGGUCCUGGUUGAAAAUCAGAAAUGAUUUGGAAGCUAUUUUGGAAGGCUGAGGUUUGGAAUGAACAAAAUUCAGUAAAGCCUUCAAUGGGAAGGUAAGACAAUAAACUUGCUCAGUAUCACCUGAGAAAGCUACACAUGAUUGGUUCCUUCUAGAACAUAGAGGAGAGGUUCCAAAGAUGACGUUCAGACAUUAAUCAUCUCUGUGUCCACACCAUCUAGCCAAGUGCCAAACAAGCUCAGAGUGCACCAAUACAUGUAUGUAGAACAAUCGAAUGAGUGAGUGGACGGUUGGUUUGUUAGUCGGUGCAUCUUGGCAUUUCUUGGCUAGUCCUUGAUAUAUUCCGUGCCUGACUUUUAUCUUUACCUUCCAACCUGCUCUCUCCUGUUUUACCUUCUUCUAAGGAGCUUUGCUUAAGGUCCAAAAAUUGGAUGUUCUGCAAUUAUACCCUUGAGUAAAAGGAAUACUCUAGGGUCAUGUGGAUUGAGGUGUUCCUCCACCUAUCUGGUGUGUAUGGUAUUGGAAAGUUAUUUAUCAUUUCUGAACCUCAGCUUCUCUAUCUGUAAAAUGAAACUAAUGAAGUUUACCUCUUGGGCUGUUGUGAGCAGUAAAUGAAAUUAUGUAUGCAAAUGAGCAUUGUAAUUGUCAUGAAAUAAACACCGUGUGGUUGGUAGCUA